rnacentral:tRNA from 1 species
GGCACGGUGGCCUCAUGGUUAGUGCGCUCGACUUCGGAUCGAGUGGUCCGGGUUCGAGUCCCGGCCGGGACA